rnacentral:misc_RNA from 1 species
GAAAUGCGAUAAGUAAUGUGAAUUGCAGAAUUCCGUGAAUCAUCGAAUCUUUGAACGCACAUUGCGCCCUCUGGUAUUCCGGAGGGCAUGCCUGUUCGAGCGUCAUUUCAACCCCUUCAAGCCCGGCUUGUGUGUUGAGCGGCGGUCCCGUUGGGUGUUAACCCUGAGGGGCCGGCUUCAAAUUCAGUGGCAGCGCCGCUAUAUUCAAGGGUGACUGAGCACAUGGGGAAAGAAUAGGAGCACUGUUCCUGCUGUCUUCGUGCUUGUUAAAAAGUCCCCGGUGGCCGCUUGCCUCGGUGUCGAAUCUUUCGGCAUACUUCUUAACUAGGUUGACCUCGGAUCAGGUAGGGAUACCCGCUGAACUUAA